CCUACGGGGGGCUGCAGUAGGGAAUUUUCCGCAAUGGGCGCAAGCCUGACGGAGCAAUACCGCGUGAGGGAUGAAUGCCUAUGGGUUGUAAACCUCUUUUUUCAGGGAGGAACACAAUGACGUUACCUGAAGAAUAAGCAUCGGCUAACUCCGUGCCAGCAGCCGCGGUAAGACGGAGGAUGCAAGUGUUAUCCGGAAUCACUGGGCGUAAAGCGUCUGUAGGUGGUUUAGUAAGUCAACUGUUAAAUCUUGAGGCUUAACCUCAAAAUCGCAGUCGAAACUAUUAGACUCGAGUAUAGUAGGGGUAAAGGGAAUUUCCAGUGGAGCGGUGAAAUGCGUAGAGAUUGGAAAGAACACCGAUGGCGAAAGCACUUUACUGGGCUAUUACUGACACUCAGAGACGAAAGCUAGGGUAGCAAAUGGGAUUAGAUACCCUUGUAGUC
rnacentral:rRNA from 1 species